rnacentral:ncRNA from 2 species
GAUCACAAGAUAUCGACGAGAAAUGGCCUUUGACAGCGUCGAUAGGCAACCGCCCGAUUCGCGGACCCGGUGCCCCAAAGGAAGAUCAGCCCCACAGACCGCCUGCGGGGAAGAGCGAAUA